GUUUGAUUUCCUGACCAUUGGAGAUAGCCAAAAAACCAUUUGAAUUGUUGGUGGUUUGAGCACUAGACUAAAUGUCUUAAAGUAAUCAAUACUGUUCACUUGUUCAAAGACUUGUUCUACAAAUCUAGUUUUAUAGCAAGCCACACUCCUAUCAGAGUUCCUCUUAAGCUUAUUUAUCCACCUAGACUCAACAAGGUUCAUGAUAGGAUAACAUGGAAUCCAAAAGCAGCAAAACACUCCUACAAACAAUUUGGAUGACUAUUACACGGUUGAAAGGUAUGUAACAAACCUAGGGAAAAAUUUGGAUGUUUUCAUUAGUUAUUGAAGUGAUAACUAUUGCGCGGUUGAAAGGUAUGUAACAAACAAACAAAAAAACAGGCCAGGAAAAACAGAUUUUAUUGAUCAAGGCAAUAAAUUUUUUUGCUUAAGAAAUCCUUAUCAUUAAAUGGCAGUCAUGACUAGACAAAAGCAUUACGUCUUUGUUUGGCCAUUUACAUUAGUUUUUAAUCUGGAAACUUAAGCACUGUUGAAUGGUGUGAGGAGAUCAAGCUGAGAAAAAAAGAACUCCUUGUUUAAAGGAAUAGACAAAAGCAUUAAGAAUUUUUGUUUGGACAAUUGCAUUAGUAAUUGAUGUGAUAACUUUUGAACAGUUAAAAAAAUAUGAGGAGAAAAGCUGAGAAAAACAGAGUUCUGUUGAUGAAGGGAAUUAAAAUUUUGCUAAGAAAUCUUGAUCAUUAUGCAGUAGCUUGGUCAGUUUGGAAAGAGUGCAACAACAGAAUUUUCAUUCAAAAAUCUUCGGACCUCAAGAGAGUUUUGAAGAAUGCUCUUCUCCUAUUCUACUCAUGGACAUCUGAUCCCCCCCAAUCUUUUUGUCUUCUUUUGUAACUAUUUUGUUUCAUUUGCUAAUGAAGUGGGUUGAACACUUGAACUCCCCUCCUGCUUCCANNNNNNNNNNNNNNNNNNNNNNNNNNNUGAUCAUUAUUUAACUGUCAUGACAUAAAAAAGCAUAGUCCCUAUUUGGAUAUUUGUAUCAAUUAUCAAAUGAUGACUUGUGAAUUGUUGGAAACUUUGGGAGAAAAAAAGAUGGGAAAAAUGGAAUUUCCCUUCACGAAGGGAAUAACUGACAUGACUCGAUGAAAGCAUUAGUCCUUGUUCAGCAGUAGUAUUUAUUAUCAAAAGGAAAGAUGUGAGGAAAAAAAUUGGAGAAAAUGUGAGGGAAAAAAGGUAGGGAAAACUGAAUUUCGUUGACAAAGGUAAUCAAAUUUUUGCUCAAGUAAUCCAUGUUAAGGGUUGAGAUCAGACGAAAGCAUUAAGUGUGAGAGAAAAAUCUGGGAACAAAACAGAAUUUUGUUGGUGAAGGGACUAAAGCUUUUAUUUGAGAAAAUUAAUCAUUAAAUAACAGUUACAUGAUUAGACAAAAGCGAUAACUCCUUGUUUGGACAUUUGCAUAGAACAUCAAUGUGAUAACUUAUGCAUGAUGGAAGAGUGUGAAGUAAAAAAGCUGUAAAAAAAAGAAGUUCAAUGAUGAAAGGGAUAAAUUUUUUACUUCAAACAUCCUGAUCAUCAAAUAAGGGUCAUGGCUAAAUAAAAUCUUUCAUUUCCCAUAUGGAUGUUUGCAUUAGUUAUCAAUGCGAUAACCCGAAGCUGUGGGAAAAUGGGAGUAAAAGAGCUGGGGCAAAACAGAAUUUUCUUGGUGAGGGAAUGAAAGACAUCUUGAUCAAUUAAACAACAGUAACGGCCGGCAACGGCAUUAAGUUCCUGUUUGGAUUAGUUAUCUUUUUCGAGAGAAAGGGAGGGAGAUCCACCCACACUAUAAUUAUCUAGGUUCCCAUACUUAGGAUGCUCCAUCCAAACUUCAAAUCCAGAAUCUCUUGUUGCCAAGCAGAGGGAAUUUACCACCAGGACAAUUGCUAUGGUUCAUGUUCUUGGAUUAGUUAUUGGUGUGAUAACUUGUGCAAAAUGGUAGAGUCUGAGGAAAAAAGGCUGGGAAAAAACAUAAUUCAUUAUUUAGGGAAUAAAGUUUUUGCUUAAGAAAUCUUGAUCAUCAAACAAGGGUCAUGAUCAGACAAAAGCUUUAAGUACUCAUUCAGAUGUUUGAAUUAUUUAUCGGUAUAUCAUCUUGCAUGCGAUCAAGAAGUGAAGAAAAAAGAUUGGGAAAAACAGAAUUUUGUUGAUGAAUGAAACCAUUUCCACUUCACAACCCAAGUUUGAGUGUGUGUGUGUGUGUGUGUGUAAACUACCUUCAAAGUUGCAUGCAUUCUCCUGAAACCUCAAGGAGUGGGGUUGGCGGUUUCUCUUGAUCCCUUGGAUUGUUCCAUUUCCACCACUUCUUCUCUUCCUUUUCUCGGGCAGAUUUUUUUAUCAAUAGGUAAGCUAUUCGGCCAUCCAAACAGGGCUCUAAAAUAUGGUUUCCAUGUGAAGAAGAUGCUGAAUUUUUUUGAUAUUUCUGAAAAAAAUGACUGUUUUUAAUCAGAGAUUCAAUGUCGGCGGAACUUUUCCUUUAAGCGAGCAUUUUCUCAUUGAGCAUGCAAGUCGUAUAUAGUCUUGGAAAUGUUUUUUCUUUUGGAUGUAAAGAAUUGAAAGCUGUAUGCUGCCCACCUAAAUACCAUUGUUCACCUUAUGAGCUGCUGAGUGUGAGUCCAAAUGGGUAUUACUAUUGCAUUCCCCCAAAAAAAGCACAUACCCAGAAUGAGCAAGAAUCAGAAACAGAAAUUCUUUAACAAGCUGAAAAUCUAACAAAACUGGUCACUCAGGUGGUGUAUUGUUUUCUCAUGAAGCAAAGGCAAUGGUGAAAAGCAGCUUUCUGACUUCAGAAGCGAUCUUUCUGAGUCACCACAGCACUGCAAUACAAGAAUAGAUGAUUCAUUUGGGCCUUUAAUACAAGAAUGCAUUAUGUUACCAACUGGAUUUUGAGGGAAAGAGAGUAGCAAGAAUAAGCCUAACUAAGAUUUAAUAGAUAACUAUCUAAACAAGGAUACACUAGGCUAACCAGAUACAAUAUUAUAAAGGAUCAUAAAAACAGUGUCUAGUUUAGAGAUUCUUUUCUUCCUUCACCAAGAAGUAUCUGGUUUUUGCAGGUCUUCUGGGGAGAUUUCCUCUAAUCUCUGAAUACUCUGGCAUCUCUUUCAAGCCAAAUGCACCAAGUAAUUGACUAAUUGAUAAUGAUAACAUCCCAACUAGCUCUCCCUCCAUUCUGUCAAAAAAUCUAGUGUCUUGGCAGGGAAAGAAUGAAUACCAACCCAAUGCUGCAGCUUAAGCCAAAUAGUAUGAUAAUGAAAUCAUUAUGAAAGAAAUAGAUAUUCUGUCAACUCCUCGUGAUACAGACAUACUACACGCAUGGUACAAUGGUUCCAGUUUCUCAUUAUCAGAUUCUCAGCAGUCAGGAUUUUGUUGAGGCCGAUAUGUUAACAACCAGAUUAUGAGAGCAUUUUUCUGCUAGUCUAAACUCUAGGAAUAUAAUCCCUCCAAAGGUAUUGCUCAUAAACAAGGGCACAAAAAUUCUUGAACCUUGUAAAUUUUUGUUCUCAUUCAGCUUUGGUGUAUUGGGACUCAGAAAUAUUUGUAGGGUAGUAUCACGAUGGGUUCAAAAUGUGUAUCUGGGAAUAAAAACUUUAUCUCCUUUUUUUUUUCUGUGUAUCAUGUAAUCAGGAAUGCUUAUACGGGUUCGACUGAACUCAAAUCUUGAUCCCCAGUUACAGGUCUUAUAUUUUAUUCCACCAAUGCUUGGAUAUUGAACAAAGCUUUUCAAUCCCAUAUAACAUAAUUUAUUCAAUGGCUCACCUAUUCUAAAAAGAAGAAGAAAAAAAUCCCACAGGCUUAUCGGUGUUUACUAUUCUUUUAAAAGUGAUCAUUGUUCAUCCUCUACUUCAAAGACAUUCUAGUAUUCGAGUACCUGAAACACCUUAAAUGAAUGGCCUUCUACUUGUCAGCUUGGUAAAGGCGGUACCUGUUAAUACUCACACAGACAACUCAAGAUCUACAAUGCAAUAACUUGCAGGUGUUGCCAAUAAAAACAUCAGGUGAAAUAGAUGAGGUCAAAGUAACCCAAACUGGAGUGGAACGAAGGGGAGCAUGUUCUUCGCAUCCUUCCCUGUAAAGAGUCCAGCGUUAUUGCAGCAGCAAAUCUAAAAGGCUUCUAAAGCAAACUUACUGCAGCAUGACCAUAAUUUGGAUGGACAAAGCAACAUCCUAAGUCGCAAAAAAGGAUGCGAAAUUCAAUUGUCCAACAAGUAAUUCAUAACAUACCUUGUAUCUCCAGUCAUACAGCUCAAAGUAGUUGCUAAAAUACAACAUGAUUGCAGAACAACUCCCGUAAUGUAAGCCAAAUGAAACACUGAAAAUUUAAUGAAAUAAAUAUGACGUCGCAAUUAAUUACGACCUUAGAAAGAUUUGUCGCUUCACUUUGUUUAGAAGACGAGCAACAAGGAACCUACCAAAAUUGUAGUUUCAGAAGGAAAUUAUUUGGUAACAGGUAUGGAAAAGGGUCCAACAGUCAUUGCCAGUAGGAUGUGCCUACAAGUCAAGGAGAAGCCUGCGAGGGUCUUCAACCACAUCUUUAAUACGCCGCAGGAACAGAACAGCCUCUCUUCCAUCAAUCAAUCUAUGAUCGUAAGUCAGCGCAAUGUACAUGAUUGGCCUUGGAACAAUGUUGCCGUCAACCACCAUUGGACGAGACACAAUAGAGUGCAUACCUAAGAUGGCAGACUGCACAAAAUAUGUAGGCACAUCAGGGUACAAUACAAAUAAUACAUGGUAACAGAGACCUUUUGAAGCAGUUCAGGGGCAUUACUUGUGGGGGGUUGAUGAUGGGCGUGCUCAGAAGGCUUCCGUAGACACCACCAUUAGAUAUUGUAAAUGUACCUCCAGCCAUCUCAUCAAUUGAUAUUGUCCCAUUAUUUGCCUUCUUUGCAAGGUUAUUAAUCUCUUUCUCUAUUCCCGCAAAAUUCAUCUCAUCAGCAUUCCGGACAACUGGAACCACAAGGCCCUGAGAAAAUUAAGAAAUUAAAUGUUCAUCCGGCCACUUAUUCUAUCAGCCAUACAACUAAGAAAUCAACAAAUUAAAACCAAACAAUCAGGAUCAUAUCUUCAUGUCAAAAUGAAAAGGUCAAAACAUAAAGUGCUCAUACGGCCUCCAAGAGACAUGAUACUCCCAAACCUUAGGUGUGCCAACAGCAAUACUGAUAUCAAUGUAGUCCCUGUAUAUGAUAUCAUCCCCAUCAAUUACUGCAUUAAUGAUUGGCUGGUUUUGAAGCCCAGAAACAGCAGCCUGACAACAUGAAGAAUUAAUGUAAAUGAAUAGAUCAAUGAAAUAUUAUUUGCAGUAUUCACUACACAUUACAUACUUUAACGAAGCCUGACAUCAGCCCCAACUUCACACCAUGCUUUUCGAGAAAGGCAUCUUUAUAGUCUGAGCGAAGCUUCAUUAGAUUUGUCCUAUGAUAUAAAAAUCAUGAUGGUGACAAACCAGAACAUGUAUAUAUAGCAGAAAGACUGCUUUGCAGUAGAUUUUUCAACAAAUAAAUUAAAAAAGACAAAUUAAUCUAAAGUGUCUUGUAUCUUUAGAGGGUGAGCUUCGGCGCAAUGGCAAGGUUGCUCUAUUAUGACCUGGAGGUCAUGGGUUCGAAGCAUGGCACUAGCCUUUUUAUAUGUAGGGGUAAGGCGACGUAUAUCUGACCCUCCCCAUAUCUCACAAUGGCAGAAACCUCGUGCAUUGGGCCACCCCUUUUUUUUGUCUUGUUUCUUUACAUAAAUUAUCAUACCAGUUCACUGUAAAUUCUAGCACAGCAUAAAUUAAACUAAGAAAAGGAAUACAUGUGCCAUGCCAGCAGUGACAAACAUAAACACAAGGGCCACAAGAAAGUGGUGACAGAGAUACCUACAUAUCAACUUCAUUGAAUGUAGUUAGCAUAGCAAAUGUGUUCUGAGAAUCCUUCAAACGCACGGCAACUCUUUUCCUUAGUCUCGGCAUGGGAACCUGAAAUAUAAAAGACAAAAGCAAUACCAGGAAACCUCUCUAUCAAGUCCUCCUUAUGUAUCAAGUGCAGCAUGCUUUACUAAUAACACACUUCUAGCAAUAAAAGACAGCUGUGUGAGACUUACUCUUCUUUCCCUUUCCUUGGGAGGAAGCUGAGGUUCUGAAGCUGAAGUUUUAGGGUAUGAAGGAGAAGAUGCUUUUGGCUUUUCUUUGAUUGGAGCUUCUGCUUUUAGCGUUUCUUUCUCCAUCUUCUUCUCUUUUGCAGGAGGAGAUGGCUGUGGGGCAUCUUUACCUGCUUUCUCCUCUGAUGGAGCAACAUGUGUGUCACUGGAAGCAGAUUUUGAUAUAACAGCAACCUUGGUUCCUGGUGUCACAGUAGCACCUUCCUCGGCUACAAACUGUCAACAAUAUAAUACAGACAUCAAAUUUGUGUGAGUCAGAAGCUUGAAUGUAUAAGAGGAAGCAAGGUAAAUGAUAUAUAAGAAAAAUUAAUUAUUGGCAGCAUAUUAUAGCAUGACGCCUAACCUUUUGGAUUAUCCCAGCUUCAGGACUAGCAACAUCAAUGGUCACCUGAAAUAAGUGACUACCCUUUUAUAUUGAAUGUAACAUAAAUUAGAUAUAACUUGUGAAUAAAGCAAUAUUACCUUAUCAGUCUCAACUUGCGCGAUUGGCUCAUCAACUUCAACCCUGUCACCAGGCUCUGUUUCCCAAUUAUCAUGUCCAGAAGAGGCACAAGUUAGCAUGAAUGCUUAUGAAGACAAGCACAUUCAUCCAUGAUCCACACAUACAGCCAGAAUUUAUCCCAAUAAAUGUGGGCAGGAGCUGUAGAUCACACGAUCCAAAUAUACAUGAACACAUCAUCUGUGAUCUGGCUUCUAGGUUUAAUGCCAAUGAUGUGUCAAGCUGUGGAGGCAGCAUGUUUGGGCCCAAUGAUGCAUUCUGUUUGAGAGCAUGCAUGUCUCUGUGUGUGUAUGUGUUUGUGUGUGUGUGUGUGUGUGAGAGAGAGAGAGAGAGAGAGAGAGAGAGAGAGAGAGAGAGAGAGAGAGAGAGAGAGAGAGAGAGAAGAGAGAGAGANNNNNNNNNNNNNNNNNNNNGAGAGAGAGAGAGAGAAGAGAAGAGAGAGAUGAAAAUUACAUACUCUUUAAGAAGGUUGCUAAAGUUCCAUCAGUUAUAGAUUCACCCAUGAAAGGAACAACAGCAUCGACUAGGUCGCCUUCAAUCAGGAAAAUAUGGCAAAAAUUUACAAGUUAAUACUCUAGAACUGUAAGAUAUGCCGAGAAAGGUGGAAGUAGCUGUAGACGCUUACCACUGUCAGCAGCCAAUGACCUACUCCAUAUUUGGUAAGGAGAGGCUUUUGGGAGGAACUCGAUAAGAUCCCUGCAAGUUUCAUGCAAAUUUUAUUUGUGAGAAAACCCUUGGAGCAACAUUCUCCAAGAAAAACAGUUUUAUGUGAGUAGACUAUAGUCUCCUGACUAAAGAAUAACAUUACAAAAGUGAAGAUAACAAUGAAAAUUAAAAUAAUUGUGAUGGUUGAUUACUUCUACAAUAAGUCAACUAGUAAAUUGAAAGGAAAAAUGAAGUUUCCAUUCUAUUGCUAACCUUCUAGGUUUCGAGCAGACCACACCACCUGAAAUGAAACAUGAUGUAAGAUUCUCAGUUUUUAACAUUAUCAACAAAAUAUGCUUAAGAUAAUAAAUAAACAAGAUCACCUGGAAAUAUAUGAUGGCUAAAGUGUCUGACAUGCCUGUAACUUCUCAAGAGAAAUAAUGUCUGCACAGAUAUGACAAAACUGGUGAGCGCUUCGCAGGACAGAGGAAAAAUUAGUCGAUCGACUUAAUAUAUAAAAUCAAAACAAGGAAAAAUCUACUUGAGGCAAAAUAAAGAUUAGAUUUAAUACUAAAAUCAGAAUAUGACUGGAAUCCAACCCAAACAAUAUGAAGAAUGAAACAGAAAAUGGUGACUGAUCUGGCCAAGAGCCAAGGUCACGGGACUGUUGGUCCAAUCACUGGGUCAGUUAGUCGAACUGAAUUAUGCCUAAAAAAUAUUAUAAAAUAAAAAUAUUAAAAUGAUUAGAUAUAAUAUAAAAAUAUGUAUUAACUAUUUAUAUUUUUUUCUAAUUUUUCAAGAAACUAUUUAUAAUUUUCUACAUUAUAUACUACUCUAUAAAAUGCAUUGAACUACAUUCUACACAAUUCUUUUGUUAGAACAUAAAUAGGAAAAAUUGUGAUUCAUUUAAUUUUUAAAAAAUGUAAAAAAAGUUGUAAAUAACCUAGGGAAAUGUAUAAAAUUUAUUGAUAUUUUAUUUUUAAAUAGUAAAGUUUUGAAGUAUCCAAUGCAUAAAAUUGAUGCAUUUUCUUUAAAUUUUGCAUCAAAGAGAAAAAUAAUUGUUUAUUUUUCUUCUUUAUUGGAAAGGAUUGAUUAUCAAAAAAGUGAGUACAUGACAUUUUUGGAAUAAGAUUGAUAUAGUUUAUAUCACUUGAUAAUUUAUCAAGAAUCAAAGGCUGUCCUAGUGGUUGAGCGUUUGGCCAAGAAACCUGGGUCAUGUGUUCCAUCCUGACUCAAUAUGCCUUCUUCCAAAAAUUGUUUGACCAGAUCACCCACCGUCCACUCGCCCGGUUCACCUGCUUUCUGAUAAAACCAGCCGGGCCACUGGUUUCUCAGGCGGUUCAACCGCAUAUCCGGUCCUGUAUGAAAACAGGAUUGGCUGGGGGCUUGGUUCACCGAUUUUUUGGUCAGACUGGCCAAUGGUGGGGUUUCUAUAACCAUGAUAUGGAACAUAAGGAAAGAUCAAAUAGAGCACCAUAUCAGCAAGCAAAUGUAGAACAUGAAUGAGGGAGAGAACUUGAGGAAAUGCAAAUGAUGAAAAUUAUUCAAAAUAUAUAAGAGGAUGAACUUCAAAUGAAAGGCAAAAGUUUUGGAAAAUGGGAGCCUUUGCAAUAGAUUUUGGAAGGUUAUUAAUUAACAUUAAGGAUUGAGUACAACUCAAUCCAUGAAGAUCUUUCCUAGGAAUUUGGAAGGUUCAGAGGACCAAACAGGUGGAGGUUUUUGUCAGCUUGCAAAUAAGUUGAAAUAUGAUUUCAAUUAUUUCUUCAAAAUAAUUCUUCUAAUAUAACACCACAAAGUGAAAUAAGACCAGCUGGAAUAAAAAUAAGGAAAAAACAAUGGUGAAGAAUCUACAUUGUGCUAUGGUAGCACCAUGGUCUGUUAUAAAAUUACUACUGCAAUAACAAUAAUUUGCCUAACUAACAAUAGUAACAAAACCAAUUUUGCUACUACAACAAUACUGACUUCAUCAUCCUAAGAAACAAAAAAUGAUUUGUUUUUGGCACACAUAAUUCUUAUUCGAAAAAGACAAAAGCUUGGUUUUCUAAUGAUUUUACAUAUACUUUAUUUUUUCUAUUAUCAACAUCUUCCUUACUUUCGGUCACAUGUGAUAGUUAUAUAUUUCUUUUGGAAAGUUUUGGUUAUGUUAUGACUUUCUUGGUGCAACCUCAUUCUUUAACGUUACGAAGAAAAUAUACUUAUGAUUUACAGCAACAAUUACACAUGUUAAAGACAAAACAACCUUUGAAAUCAAUUCAUUAGUGCACAAAACUGCUAACAGAUACAAACAAAAUGAAAAUCCCUAAUCUUCAACACCAGAGCCUCUAGCGUUUUGUUCUAAUCAAAAACUGCACACAGAUAAAGCAAGAUUUUUCAACACCUUGGUAGGAUUCAUGUAGCCAACCUCAACCAGUUAGGGAUUAAGGCUCAGUUGAGUUGAGUUGUAGACAAGGCAACUGCCUUAAGAUUCAGCAUAGUUCUAGUUAAAUGUCUAACCAUUCAAAUGUUCCAUAAAUGUGAAAAAGCUGGAAAUUUCCUUAUUCUUUGAAGAGUUAUCUUAUCUAGCACAUUAUCAAGAUUUCUUGUUUUAAGCCAUUAUCGUUCAUCCCUUCCCUUGCAAGCCAUUCCAGUGGCAUGUUUGCUGCUCAUAAUAUCGGGGCAAUAUGAAAUUUGUGCAAGAAGAUUAGUAUGCCCAACAUACAGAGAAAUCAAUUGAAGGAAACACCACUCUUGAUUUGGGAGGCGAGCCUGUUUUCAGACUGCACAGCCAGUUCCUUUGCAUUAGUUAAAGGCAUGUUUGGUUCUAAGUCUUCAAAAAUGAAGGAGGCCAGUUUCCCCAAGUGACUUCGGAAAAACCCUUCUCCCCAAAUACAAGGAAGAGAAAAGGUUAAAACCACUUCAGGACUUUUCAAAAAGUCAAGACAUAACUGUCGAACUGUGGUCCUCACAUCCACUGAACCAAACACACACAAGUUGCUCACUUCCACCUAACACACUUCGGACCUGCCACCGACGAUUCCCAUAGUCAGUAAACAAUGCUUUUGAGUUUCCACUAGCACCAUAUUGUACAUAUGCUUCUGGGUUUCCACUAGCACCAUAUUGUACAUACCUCAAUGAGUAAGCCAUGCUUUUUGCUAAGUUUCCUUACAGUAAAAUUUAUAAGUUUGAUAUAACUCCUUUUGUAUAAUAGCAUCAUGCAAGUCUAUGAAUUGAGACAAUCAAAUUCUGAAUUCCUCAAAAAAGAAAAAAGAGAUUCAUUCUGAAACAAUCAACAUUCAAUGGAUGAGGUGAAUAUGGUUUUACCCACUUGUGUUCCUAGGAAACUUCUGCUGCCUAGAAAAGUACUACCUAAUGCCUAUAAUUGUUAUGAUUACUUAGUUACUGCAUUGAGUACCAAUGCUUUAAAUAUUAAGUUUUGUAAAUAUUAAGGUAAAUCUUUAUACUUAACAUAUGCUUUACAUUUUAUGUGCACAAAGUAAAUAUGCUCAAAUACACAAGUAGAUUACGCAAAUUUCAAGGGAACUUUAUGUUUGUACACUUACAUACAAGAAAUUUGGUAUACAUGUUUAUACAUGAGAAGGUAAAAAUUCAAGUAAUGGGUAACUAAAUAUUUAUUAUAAGUAAUUUAGCAUAUUAAUACAGCAUAUUCAUAUGUCACACAACUAAACAGAAAAACAUGUAAAUUUAAUAAUACAAACUAAACAAAGAGUAGAUGAAAUUAAUGUAUUAAGGAGUCAAGUAAUGGAAGCUGUAAGGUAAACUAAUUGAUCGCAAAGGGCAUGUAGUAAAUCAAUAAGUUAAUAUAUCAAGUAUCACCCAUGUGUUUUGACAUUUAAUAUUUAACUUGCAAGUUAAUAUAGGCUAAGAGUGUUAGAUGUUCAAUUCUAUGUUAGCUCAUAACUCCUUCAAACCCUCUCAUUUGGUGCAAGGGAACCAACAAUUGUCACACUCGUCAUCUGCUUGUCACAAAUAUUUUCUCUCUUCCCUUCUCCCUUCUUUUCUUCUUUCAUUUUGUUUUGUCCCUUCAGCUACCUAGUAUUCUUUCCCCCUUAAUUUUCCAAUUGAGAAUCUUGUCUUGCUGUCUAAUUAUUUCUUUUUCCAAUCACCAUUUCUUUUGCUUCCCUUAUUCUCCGUCAUUUCCUCUUCAUCCACUCACCUACUUUUUUCCCUCUUUCCUUUCCAACACAGUUCUUCUUCUCUUCUUCCAGAAUUUCUUGUUCAAGAAUCCCCAAGAAUCUUCGUUAUUUGUUGAUCAUUUGCUUACACCAACAAAACAAUUUGUUUAGAAGAGCUUUUGCUUCCGUUCCUUGCUCCAGUUGGUUAGAUUCAUUGGCCUUGGAACACAGCUCAAUCAGUUUUCUCAACAGCACACACCAACUUAACAUCCAAUUAACUAACUCUAGACACUUCAGCAUUUCUUCCAGCAAUAAGCUAAACCAAUCCAUAAUUGACUUCCUAAGAUUAUUGCUAGGUAGCUCACAUCGAUGCUAAACAUAGCAUUGCUUUAAGUAUAGAACCCGGAGAUCCAAACUGGCAUGUCAACACUCGAAAUAUUUCCGCUGCAUCGCACUGAUAUCGUAAUCCAACCUAAUAGAAUCAAUUUUUUAUACUAUCAUUCGCCCAUGAAGCUGUAAUAAUUCCAAUUUUCCAGUGGAAUAUCAUCUAAAGCAAAACUUGAAUGCAAUAAACAAUAAACGUAUUUUUUGAUCCACACUUGAGGUCUAAUUUCACCAACAAAAUCGCAACCCAAAUCAGGCCAGAUUAAACUAACUUCUCAGCACCACAAUUACCUCCCCCUAAGCCUUCUCACUCGAACCUCCCACCAGAACGAUUCAAACCAAAAAUAAAGGUAUGAAAUUCCUCCACAUCCAAAAGAAAACAUGCUGUAGAGCAUAUCAAAACAGAGCAAACUAUUAUGUAUACCACAAGAUCUUCAACCCAAAAAACAAUGGAAGAGAUCCAAAUCAUUCAGGCCAGAGAACCAAAAAGGAAGUAAAUUUCUUCGUUUAUUUGAAUAGAUUGGAAGGAAAAGCUUACGGCCGCGGGUCGGCGGACCAGGCGAGCGAGAUUCGUAGCCAUUCCCCGCGAUCCUCUCCACCGAAGCUUGGAUGAAAGGCGAAACUCUUUUUCCCUCUUAUAGACACAGCUCGGAGACGAGGGUUUUCGUUUUACGGUGCCGUCUCGGCGCUUCUUUUGUUUCUUUUCCCCGUUUUUUAAUUUUUUAUGCAUACGUACUUUCUAAAUAUUAAAACUUACAUAAAUAUUCUUUCAAAUAGAUAUUCACACACACACACACACACACACAUAUAUAAUAUACAUAUAUAUUUACUUAUAUAUAUAUAUAUANNNNNNNNNNNNNNNNNNNNAUAUAUAUUUACAUAUAUAUAUAUAUAAUAUUUAUUUUGCAUGUGUGUAUAUAUAUAUAAUGCCGUAAAAAAAUAUCAGUAUAAAAUUAAAAAUAAUUAAAAUAUUUUUAAUAGGUAGACAUAUAAAAAGAAAUUUUAUAAGGAUAUACAUGCAAAUAACAACUUUGCAAGAGUAUUUAUGCAAAAUUACAUAUUUAAGAAGAUUUACAUGCAAAAAAAUUCUAACUUUAUUUUGUUCUAUUUUAAAUUAUUUAACACUCGGAUUUGUCUAGUAUAUGUUCCCUAAUAUUUUCUAUAAAAAUAUUACUUAAGAAAAAGAUUGAUUCGUUAACAAAAAGAGUUUUGGAAUUUUUUUACUAAUCAUGAGAUUAUUCUAUUUUAUUGUUCUCCAUUUAUAAUAACCACUAUAUCUUAUUUUAUUAAAAUAUAGCUCGUAAUAUUUCUUGUUAUAGAUGUAUAUAUAAAAGCAUGUAUUAGAAUAUAGAAAAGGAUUACGAUCUCUUGAAGGCACAUGAUAGAUUGCAAUGAUUAAGCUUUUUUGCUACUACUAUACACAUGGGUGGAAGAACAACAUCAAUCAUCUCCAAGCAAAAUCAUUGAAGGACUUUGAAACUCUUUAAAUUUAUAAACAACCUCCACAGCUAUGUGGUAGAAGGCCGCCCUUUAUGUUGUGUACCUUAAGCUAUUUUUCUUUGGAGCUUUAAUUUUCUAGUAGAAGAAAAGUUCUAGUAUAUGGGGCCUAUCUUGUCACAGUAAUAUUAAAUCGGCUACUAGCUUGCACACGAGAAAUUUUCUAGCUCUAAAAAAUAAUCAUUCCAAAUCUCAUACACUAAAAGAUAAAUGUUGCAAUUUUUUUAUAAUAUUUUUCUUUAAAUAAUUCAUAAAGCUAAAAGCAUGAUCUGACCAUCUUCAUGUAAAACAAGGAUACAAUAAAGGGCUAUCUAUGGUAGAGAAGAGAGUUGAAGAAUGGUUUUAAUUUCGAACUAAAAAGUAAAAGAGAGGGUCCAGCAGCAUGGGAGGGAGUUUUCUAUGCGAGACGAGUGCUAAGGGAUAGACUAUAUUAUACUCGAGGGGAACUCCACCAUGGCAAUCGAGGGGAUCCAAGGGAUCGGGAGUGCCGAUGGAGGAAUGCGAUUAUUCCACGAUAUUUGUCGUCUGCUAGGCGAAUGUAUCUCCUAUUGGGCCUCUCAUACUUAUAGAGAGGCCAACAGUGCAGCGGAUUGGGUGGCCACCUAUGUGGCUUAUCAUUUAGGCGAUUUUAUUUGGGUGGACUAGGCUUCUAUCCCGCCUCCUUUGCAGUCUAUUUUGCUCUCACCUUUUUAGGCAAGUCUCACACCCAUUAUGUAUGAACUACCGAUCCAAAAAAAACAAAAGAGAAAGCUUGAUUGGUCCACAAAUAUCGGCAUGAACAAAUUAAAGUGGCUCAUUUGCUCUUGAAGUAGUUUCUCUUAGAAAGCUUUUUUGGAAUUGUUUGCCAACAAGACAUUCUUUACAUAGUUGUUCCGGUUGGUCAAUAGACGGCAAGCCCUUUAACAUCCCUUCUUGAUCCAACAACUUCAAGACUCCAAAAUUCACAUGCCCCAGCCUCAAAUGCCAAAAUCAAGAAGAAUUUUUUCCACAAGUCUUGAGACAUUUAGCAACAUCAGUUUGGAUAUCAAGCAAAACUAUUUUUUUCUUUGUCAUGGGCACCUUAACAAUCAUAUUCUUCCUAUUAUCUUGGAGUAAGAGACUACGAUUUUUCAUAUGAAACUCGUAGUUCUUCUCCAAAAAUUGUUCCAAACUUAAAUUAUUACUAUUCAUACUUGGAAUAUAAUAAACAUUACUCAUAAGUUGAUGGCCACCAUUUUUCAUACGAAUUAAAAUUGUACCUUUGCCUUCAAUUGGAACUUUAGAGUUAUCUCCAAAAGUGACAAAUCCGGUCAUGAUUCGUCAAUCUCCACAAACUUUCUUUUAUCUCCAUACAUGUGAUUGCUUAAGACAUUAUCAAGAUACCACAAAUCUUUCUUACUUCUUUCUUCUCCUUUAUAGGCUAGCAACAAAGUGGCCUCUGCUUCCUCAUUCUAUACAUAAUUAGCCUUUUCUUUAACAUUGCUAGAAGAACUCCAACACUCCCCAGAAUAAUGCCCAUUCUUUUGGCAAUUGUAACACCGAACUUUGGACUUAUCAUUUUUGCCUUGUGUAGUUUUAUUUACCACAUCUUUCUGAGGAAUGCCCCCUUUCUUUAUUGUUAGAGUUUUGAUUGCCUUGUCUGCCUCUUCCUCUUUCUCGACCUUCUCCACGUCCACGUCCUCUUCCUUGCUAACUUUUCUCAUGCUCCCCUUCCUUCUCCUUCAUCGAGGGCUUGGUGGUUAGAACUUGCUCGACCGGCUCCUCCUUCCUCUUAUUGGCUCUCUCUUCAUGGGCUUAUAAUGAAUCCAUAAGUUGAUCAACCAUCACAGUCUCCAAAUGUUUGGACUCCUCGAUGGUUACAACAAUGUAAUCGAACUUUAAACACAACGAGCAAAGAAUUUUUUCAAUAACCCAGACAUCCUCUAAUCUUUCUCCAUACCUCUUCAUUUGUUUCACUAUGGCCAACAUCCUCGAAAAAAAAAUCUGCAAUGGACUUGAAUUCUUACAUUCGUAUACAUUCGAAAUCUCCUAUAACAUUUGAAGGCACAAUUUCUUCACUUUAUCAACUUCUUGGUAAGAGUUUUAUAAGAUCUCUCAUGCUUGCUUGGCGAUGGUCGCAUUAGCCAUUCUCUCAAUAUGGUUUCAUCCAACAUUGACGGAUGAGAGUGAGAGCUUGUUGAUCCUUCUUCCACAUUCUCUGCAAAGCCUUUCUUUGAGUAGGACUCAUUGUAGCAUCUUCACGAGGCUCCUCAUAGCCUCUAUCCACAAUCUUCCACAAGUUUUGUGAUCUAAGCAAAACCUUUAUACUAAUGCACCAAUUUUCAUUCUACUCACACAAAGAUAGGAAAGUUGUUUGUCUAGUGAAGUGUCUUUCCUAACAUAGAUUAUUUCUGAAAUUAUGCGAGUUGUUGAUUCUAUAUCAAAGAAAUUUCCUCUCUCCCUCUUGACUCCUUUCCAGCAUAAAUAAUAAGCGAACGAACUAGGUUUUGACAAUUCAAUCAUCUGCCAACUUCCAUGUUUGACCGCAAAAUUUUGUAAGUUGCACCAACUAACUUUUUUUGUAUGGCAAGAAAAUUGUUCAUGUGCUUAUAACUAGAGCCUCGGUAGCAUUACUUGAAAUAUAACAUAAAAUACUGUGAAAGUCAUUGUACCUAGCAUCUACCGACCUCAUGAUCGGCUCCUAUCCCCCUUUUGUGGAGUCCUUACCUAAUCUUUGGUGUGGAGCUCAUCCACAAGUUAAAAACUUUCAUACCGUAACAACACGCCCCACAAGUUAUACGGAGAAGAGAGACAUGCACGCUAUGAGAGGAGGAAGCAAACGUGUCGACUCUAUUUAUCACAUAAAGCCUAUUUAAUCUCACCUUUUACAGGUAAGGAAAAACUAAUCAUGGACAACAAGAUUGGCUGGAUUACCGAUCCAUAAUAACCAUGGUUUUCCUCGUGCNNNNNNNNNNNNNNNNNNNNNNNNNNNNAUGAUGCUUUUUUUAAGUGCAUUGUGGAUAUCAAGCAUGGACAACCAGAUUAGUGGUCUAUAACUUGGUAACUUGAAUUCUAUACAGGGUAAGGAUUUAAUAAUAUUAUAAAUAUACUUUUUCUUGGUGCAUUGUACAGUCCAUAUUCGAGCAACUAUUUCGAUAUAAAUUCAGUACCCAUGGAUCCAGCUAAAUUGUCAAAUCUUUAAUUGGAAUCGUUUAAGCAUGAUUCCACAAAUGAAAAUAUACUAAUACUAAUUGCUUGAAUUCCAUAAUAUAAUAGAGAUACAUAAAGUUACGAUUCCGCAUAAUGAUUUUGCUUCCACAUAUAUAAGUCGUUUUCAAGCUUUACAGCUUCCAUCUUCCCUUCCUUCCAAGAUUGCAAUGUACGUUUAUAUUUCACUGCUACAAUGCAUGAACAUUUUGUAAGGUAAUUACUCUUCCAUACCAUAAGCAAAUCAGACAAUAUAAGCAACUGUAUCUUUUUGUUUUCAGUUUUGAUAACAAAUCUUCUCCUUUGAUAUAGAAGAGCGACGAGCGAUACGUACGCAUUCCCCAUUGUUUCCAUAAGUCACCGUCUCACACUUAGUAUAAAUCAUGCCUCCUCCCAAUGCCAUGGAGACCAAGAGAAACGAGGAGGAAGGCAUGGCGUCAACAGCGCUACCCAGCUUCACCAUCCUCUCUCUCCUCCUACUCGCAGCCUCUUCAUGCAUAUCCGCCGGACCCCACGAAGCCUUCCUCCAAUGCUUCCUUAAGAAGACCAACAGUAGUAGCUCAGCCUCCUCUUCACUCAUCCACACUCCUGACACCCCAUCCUUCUACUCCAUCCACAACGCCACCGUCCGAAAUUCGAGGUUCGCAUCAACUUCCGGCGCUACGAAGCCGACCUUCGUCGUGACCCCGAAAACUGGCUCCGAUGUCCAAGCUGCAGUCACCUGUGGCAAGGCCACCGGCCUUCACUUGAGGGUCCGGAGCGGCGGCCACGAUUACGAGGCCCGGUCGUCUUACUCCAACGGCGACCCUUUCGUCAUCGUCGACCUCGCCAACUUACGCUCCAUCACGGUCGACGCGGCCGAAGGGACUGCAUGGGUCGGCGCCGGCGCAACGGUCGGUGAGCUGUACUACAACAUCAACGCCCAAACCAAGAAGGACACCGUCGCGUUCCCGGCGAGCCUCUGCGCGAGCGUCGGCGUCGGUGGGAUAAUUGGCGGCGGUGGGCUGAGCGCUAUGAGCAGAAAGUUCGGUGCCGCGGCCGACAACGUCGUCGAUGCCUCGAUCGUAGAUGUCAACGGCAGAAUCUUGGAUAGAGAAUUAAUGGGUGAGGAUCUCUUCUGGGCCAUAAGAGGAGGGAGUUCUGCCAGCUUCGGCGUCGUGCUGGCUUACAAGAUCCGGUUAGUCUCCGUACCCCCCACGGUCACGGUGUUCAGGGUUAACAGAACCUUAGAACAAGAUUUAAGUAAGCUGGUGGAGAAAUGGCAGAAAGUUUCGCAUGAUUCCAGUGACGACCUCUUCCUCAGAAUCCUUACAAUCGCCGUCGGGGCAGGUGCGAACAGAACGAUCCUUGCCACUUUCGAGGGCAUGCUCCUCGGCGGGCGCGAUGAGUUCCUCUCCGCGCUGCAGAAUAGCUACCCCGAGCUCGGCGUCGAGGCGAACGACCUCAUCGAGUUGAAGUGGAUAGAAUCUACUCUCUUCUUUGCGGGCUAUCCUACCACGGACACGAGCCUCUUAUUGGACAGGAGGCCGUAUAGAAACAGAACCUUCAAGGCCAAGUCUGACUUUCCAAGGGAGCCUAUAUCUGCUGAUGCGUGGGAUAAGAUCUGGAAGUACUUAUUAGAUGCAGUAGACGAGAGUCUUCAGAUUAUUAUCUCUCCAUGGGGAGGGAAGUUUGAAGAGAUACCUGAGGAUGCCAUUCCUUUCCCUCACAGGAAGGGAAAUUUUAUCAACCUUCAGUACUUCUUGUUCUGGCCUGACAGUCCGGACGAGGUCAAUCAGAAGCAUUUGGAUUUCAUGAGAGGCUUCUACGACUUCAUGGCUCCAUAUGUUUCGAGUAACCCGAGAGCUACCUAUUUCAACGUCAAGGAUUUGGAUCUGGGUACCAAUAAAAUUGGAAAUACAACCUACUCUGAUGCUACUGUAUGGGGCAAGAAUUAUUUCCGCGGCAACUUUGAAAGGCUGGCUCGCGUGAAGGCUCUAGUUGAUCCGGACAACUACUUUUGGAAUGAGCAAAGCAUCCCUCCUUUUUCGGCCAUAGAUUAAUGGAACUCUUGUUUUGCAAAAAAUAAAUGCAUUAGAUUUUCUUUAAAUGUAUUCUAUUAUUUGCUUCUACCACUGCCUGAGUUUGCAAUGACAUGAAUAAAAAUAUGUUAUGAUGGAAGAUUUGAAUUAUUCAAUGUGAUUUGAAAUAUGUUAUGAUGGAAGAUUUGAAUCUUCAACGAAGAAGGGUUUUAUUAAUAAAAAAAGAUAAAUGUUGUUGAUUCUUAGACUAAUCAUGAUAUGACUACAUUAUUCUCUGUGAUAGAUUUUUCUAUUGUUGGUUGUGCUAAGAAAAAUUGCAUUUUAUGACCAGGGUAAGUUGAUUAUUGAUUAAACAUGGUUUAAUUUGUUAAGUAUCCAAAUAACAGGAACGCCAUAUUUAGCAGUGUAUUUCAAGCGAAAUAUUAAAUGAAACUCUUGUUUUGCAAUUUAUUUUAUCAUUAAAAUGAACCCAAGGAAACUUUUUGUUUUUUUUGUUUUUGAAAAACAAAAACACAUCAUCAUCAUCAUCAUCAUUAUAUUAUAUAUAUCUAUAUCUAUAUCUAUUAAGUGGAAAGGAGAGAGAAAAUUUGACCCAUCUCCAAAAUUCAGAAAAUUAGAGAAAAAUGUAUAGAAAAAUUGAGACAUUUUUGGAAGUCAUUUAAAAAAAAAUUGUUAAAUUGAUCAAUUUAUGUUAAAAUUGAAUGGGAAUUCAUUUCUGUUAAAAUCAUCAUUAAGCACAAAAAAAAAAAAUUAUAUUAAAAUCGAUCCAUUUAUGUAAAAAUUGCUCGCACAUUCUUUUAUGUGAAAGUUAUAUACGCACAAAGAAAAAAUAUUUUAUGUUAUUUUGUGAUACUGUAUGCACAAAAGAGUUCAACUCAUAAAAAAUAAUUCACGUGCACACUCAUAAAAAAAAUUCACGUGCAUGAACAAAGAUUUGCAUUCACGUAAAAAAAAUAGAUUUUUAGUGGCACAAAAUAUUAUCUUAAUUAAUUUAUAUUCAAAUAAAAGCAUACAAAAAGUUUCACUCAAAAAAAAUUUAUGCACAAAUUUAUUAAAAAAAAUUUACAUGCACGAACAAAAAUUUACAUGCACACGCAAAGAAAUGCAUCCAAAGAAAUUUAAUCAUACUAAAAUUAUAUUUUUAGUGGUACAAAAAAUACAUGAACAUAAAAAAAAAUUGCACGAAUGCACAAAAACUCUCAUAAGAAAAUUCAAUCAUUCCACAAUUAGAUUUUAAGUGGAAAAAAUAUUAAAUAAAUUAUAAUACACAAGAAAUCCAUCCAUAAAAAGAUAAUUGUCCAUACGCACAAAGAAAUUUAAAAAAGCCAUUAACUAAUUCCAUGCAUCUAGAAGAAAGAAUUUUGACAUAUUUAAAACAACUUCAACUUGAAUGGAACUCUUCCUAAUUAUUUUAGUAAAAAAUUAUUGAUCAUUUAGAGUUCACGUACAAAAAAAAAAGAAAUUCAAAAUAUGUUUGAAUCUCUAUCUUUCUCUAUAUAUUAAACCGAUAGGAGAGAGAAAACUCGCCUCCUCUCUAAAAUUUAGAAAAAUUAGAAGGAAAUCAUAGAAAAACCAUGAGGUAUUAUUCUUGUAUAUCUAUUAAAUCGAAAGGAGAGAGGAAACUCGACGCUUAUCCAAAAUUCUUAAAAACUUAAAAGAAAUUUGUAGAACAAUAAAGAUAUUUUUGGCAGUCACGCUAAAAAAAAGAAUUUUUCCAUUAAUGUUUAUGCACAAAAAAUAGUUCCAUUGACCCACAAAAAUGGAAAGUAAUUUUACACAUGUUUAUGCACAAAAAAAAUAAUUCCAUGCAUGCACAAAAAAGAAAUUAAUAAAAUUAGAUAUUCCAUGCAAGCACAAAAAAGUAAUUAAAUUAAAUUCAAAUAAAAUUAGAUUUUCAUGGUUGCAAAGAAAUUCAGUCACUUCUAUGCAUGCACAAAAAAGGAGUUAAUUAAAUUAGAUUCAAAUAAAAUUAGAGUUUUAGGCAUGCAAGAAAAUUCAAUCAUGCUAAAGUUGGGAUUUUAGCAUUUUACAAAAUUCUUUACGAACAAAAUAUUCCAUGCAUGAAAAAAAACUAAAUUUUGCACAUGCUUAUCUACAAAAAAGUAAUUAAAUUAAAAUAAAAUAAAAUUAGAUUGUUAUGCAUGUCUAGAAAUUCAAUUAAUUCCAUGUACGCAUAAAAAAAUCAUAUAAAUAAAAUACAUUCAAAUAAGAUUAGAUUUUUAUUCAUGUAAGGAAAUUUAAUCAUGCUAAAACUAAUUUUUUAGCAUGCAAUGAAAUUCUUCAUGUACAAAUAUUCACAUAUCAAAAAAAAAUUAAUAACGUGGACAAAAAAAAUAUGGAAUUCCAUGCAUGAUCAGAAAAAGAAAUUAAAGAAUUUUACACACAUUAUGCGCAAAAAAAAGUAAUUCCUUGCGUGCAGAAAAAAUCAACUAAAUUAGAUAUUCUAAGCAUGCAUCAAAAAAGUAAUUAAAUUAGAUUCAAAUAAAAUUAGUUUUUUCAUGCAUGCGAGAAAAUUGAAUCAUACUAAAAUCAAGUUUUUAUUGUGCACUAUUUUUUACAUACAAAUAUUUAUGGAUCAAAAAAAUUUGAACGCAUGCACAAAAAUGGUACAAAAUUCCAUGCACAAACAAAAAGGAAAUUAAGGAAAAAAAUCCUUCCACACACAAAAAAAUAAUUAAAUUAGGUAUCCCAUGCAUGUACAAAAGAAUAAUUAUUUUUCUAAUUCAAAUAAAUUAGAUUUUUAUGCAUACAAGGAAAUUUAUUUACUAUGUACAAGUAUUUAUGCACAAAUAAAAACUUGCAUGCAUGUACAAAAGACAUAGUAAUUUCAAGUGCCCACAAAAAAAGAAAUUUACAAAUUUUGCAUACGUUUAUGCAUAAAAAGGUAAUUCCAUGCACACAAAAAAAUUUAAUUAAAUUAGAUAUUUCGUGCAUGGAAAAAGUAAUUAAAUUUAUUCAAAUAAAAUAAUAUUUUUAUGCAUGCAAGAAAAUUAAAUCAAUUUCAUGCACAGAUAAAAAAGAAAUUAAUUAAAUUAGAUUCAAAUAAAAUUAUUUUUUUUGCAUGAAAUAAAAUUUAGUCAUGCUAAAAUUAGAUUUUUAGCUUGCAACAAAAUUCUUAUACAAAUAUUUAUGAACAAAAAAAAUGCAUGUGUGUACAAAAAAAUGCAUGCAAUGCCAUGCACAUAUUACAAAAUUAAUUUACAUAAAGUAAUUCCAUGCAUGCAAAUUAGAUAUUUCAUGCAUUCAUGAAAAAAGAAAUUAAAUUAGAUACUCUUAUAGAAUUUUUUUGUGUGUAGAUUGACCCAAAUCAAAAUGAAAAAAUAAAUAAAUUAGAUACUCUCGUAGAUUUAGCAUUUAGUUGAUUUCAAUCCAAUUUGAAGUCUUGCAUUCACAAUGAUUUCAAUUUCAGACUCUUACUUAGUUCCUUAUUUAGUGCCAACAUUGCUAGCUUAUAUCUUAAUCUUAAAUACGAUAGGAGGCUUUUGAUAAUUGAUCCAAAUCUAGUUAUCGCACUAAUUUUGAUGGAGGAGAGACAAAAAAAUCUUGGAUUGUUUUGUUACUUAAAGAGCAAAGCUUUAGAGUAGGCAUAGAGGUGCUGAGUUAUAGAACACUUUUGGGAAGAAUGUAUGCUUUGGCAUAAAGAUGCACAUGAGUGUUGUGGUUGACCUAAGGGUUUGGGUUGCUAGCGGGCACUCGAGGGUGCCGCAUAUGUUUAGUUCGACAAAGUGCCGAGCAAGGGUUUAGAGGUGUACGUCUGAGUGAAGGACUCAUGAGGAGUGGUCUUGGUGUGUGGCAUGCCCAGAUGCCGUAUGGUUUCAGAUUAGGAAAAUACUCAACCCAUAAUAAAUUAUCUCCUAGCUAUUUUGGGUAUGUUAAGUUUUUGGGCCGAGCAUCUUUAAAUUUGCAAGGCCUUAAUUUGACAAUUUCAAGAAUGAAAUUUUGUCUAAGGAGAGGAGAAUACAAGAAUUGGCCAAUUGGGCCUGCUAUGGACCGAAGAUGGUAGGCUCAACCGCCUUUAGUUUAGGACUUAAAAAUUAAAAAUAAAAAAUAAAAAAAGAGGGGGGUGGGGGACAAAUAAGCCACCCAGUUUUAGAUGUUCAAAAAAAAGCUCUGGUAUUUCUUUGUUAAAUCUUUGCCCCUGUUGUUUGAUCUUGGUUUCAGUUUAGCUGUUCAAUGAGGCUUGCUUAUGGUCUACUGUCCAGUGGUUUAUUGGUAUAACUUAAAGUCUUUCAGGAGCCAUUUUGUUGUCUCUGAGUUGUUAGAAACAAGAUAACCACUUAUCCUGAUAUUCUAUAAAACAAGUCUAUGAAGAAGAAGGGGGCGCCUUUUCUAUAAAAUUGAAUUAUCAGGCUCUAUGAUGUGCCAGUUUCCACAAAACAGGCUGUAUGAAAAGAAACCAAAUUACAAGGAUUACAGUCAGUAUGGAACUAUUUUACUAAAACCUGACAAGCAAACAACCCCUAAGAAUCUGUUCUUUUUCAAUUUGUAUUGGAGGCUUUUGAAUUAUUCCAUUAGAAGCAAGGGAAUCUGAAGGGGUGCUCAAUGCUUAGAACUUAUGUAUGAAGUGAAGCAAACCAUGAUAAUGUCUGUUGUCAAUACAAACAAAUUCAUAAAUCAGGCUGACUUAUUAUAGCUGCACCUCAUCUUUGUCUUGGUUAGCUAGAAUGACAUCUUGUCCAUUUGUUUUCCAUUUCAAAUGUAAGUGAUAUAUAUUGGCCCCCUUUCCAGCUGUGCUGCGUGCUGCAUGACUUCAUUUGCUUUUGUGGAAGGCAUGCAUUAAUUUCAUUUCUGGUUCUAUAAGUAUUUAGAACCAGAAAUAGUUAAUUUCUGAUCAUUUCAUUAACUCCAUUUGCUUUUGUCUGGCAUUCUACUGAUCAUUUUACUGUUGGGCGAUCGACAUUCAUUUUAGGUCUUAUAUCUGAAGAAUUUCCAGUAGUUCUGAUUUCUGAAAUAGUUAGUUGACAACAAAUCAAAGAAAUAGCAAUUUUAGCUACCAAAAAGAAGUAGAAAUUUUUGCUUUUACAUGGACAUGAAACAAAAAUUUGGUGUUGAAGCAACUCAUUAGUUUAGACCAUACACAUUCAAAUAUGCAACUAUAUAAUCUCAUGGCAAUCUGAAUUUUGGAAAUUAAUCAUGUAAAACACUUAUCUAUGGUAGUCACAUCAUAAUCUGAAAUCAAGAUGAGAAAUUGCUAGACAGAAUAUUGUAUUGAAGCAUUUGGCAACAGAUGUUCAUCACAUAUGAUCCAUAACAUAUCUAAAUCAUAGGAAUUUGUUAAGCAAGUCAUAAUUUGAAGUUCAGGUUUUUUUUUUCUUAAGCAAAAUGGAUUCUAUUGCAAUUGAAUUGUGCCUUUAACAUAUCAUUAGCAAGAUUUCUCAGAUUAAUUGUGGGUGUGUGUGAGAGAGAGAGAGAGAGAGUUGCAAACUUUACAUUGAAGCAUUUAAAAUAAAUAUGGAAAUAAAUGCCUUGUCAGUUUGGUUCCAAUUAGUAAUUAUUCAGCACAUUGAGUCCUAGACAAGCUUCUCCUCCCCUCCUUGUUUGUUGCAUUGCAUGGCAGGGCACCUUCAUGUGGUGUUCACAUGGUGGGUGGAUCCCCACUGUCCUUUCAAUGAUCAAACUGCCAUUCAAUCAACUCUCAACUAGAUUUUAAAUGCAUGCAUGAUGUCUUGCUUCCUUGCUCUGCUCAAAUUCCCUCAUCAGGGGGUAGUUAGUCCAAACCUCUCAAAGCUUAGACUAUGCGUGGUCCGCCAUGCCGGCAGUCCCCACCUUGUCGAUGGCGAUGACCGCAAAGUCAGCAAUCCAACCCCACACUCAUGCGGGGUGUAAUUGGGUCGGAUUCAUGCAAGAUCCGAAUCGGAACCCGAUUAUAGAAUAGAUCUCAUAUGAAUUCAAUUAGAGAUUAUCUUGCUCGUAAAUGGGUCGGGUUAUCGGGUUGUUGGGUGUCAUCUUGCGCACCCGGUAAAGACCGGUGGAAGGGGUCAAGGAGUGGGGGGGACAGGGUUUCUUUCAUUCAUUCAUUGAAAUGGGGAUGGAAAAGGAAACAUUGGUGGUGUCGUGAACGAACUCCCCAAGAUCUAGUUGGAUGACGAUCCUAAAACCAUACUCACAAGAAACCUUGGUCGGCCGUUCUCUCUUUCGGUCGCAUGUAAUGGCUAGCACGUAACUUUUAAAUAAUAUUACAUAUGCCAUCAAAAACUUGGUGGUUUUGAGAUGCCUACAAGUUUUACCAAGCUAAUCUAUUGACUAGAUUUUAUAUAUUGUUUUUGUCAUUGUUCUCAUCUAUGCUAUGUUUUGGGGUGUUUUAUAAUUUCCAAGACAUGACGUCCCUACUGCUUUCAUCGUUUGUGCUUUUAAUGUUAUUUUAAACUUUAUAAUUUACAUUAUAACACUGCUAGUCAUGUGGAUUUCUUUAUCUUCUGUAUGCUUGAUAACAGAUGUAUUAUAAUAAGCUUAUGUCAUCAUGACUUAGUUUUGCUCUAAUGCCAAUGAGGCAUGGUGUGUCCAUCACAUCAUCAAUCCACCUUUCAUCAAGCAUCAUUUUCCUCUACGUGGAUGUAUCUGAAUCAGGAGAUGACUUGAACUAUUCAUACAUAAAAGCACUCAAAAUAUUCGAUUUUUAUUCUUGAAUGUCUUGGAUUGUAGAUAUGAUCAUGAACAAUAUCUCAACUGUUCUCAUUUAUUAUGAAAACAUCUUCCACCAGCCUGUGCUCUUCUAGUUUGAGAAGUGAUUUCCAUAAUCAGAUGUUAAAUGAAGCCUUGGUUUCACAUUUAUUCAAACCAAGAUUUCGAUAAAUGGGUUUGUCCCACAGAAAUGAUCAUAACUUGAAAUUAUGAAGAACUGCUAAUGAUACUGAAAGUGGUUAUCAUGAAGCUUGUGCAUUAAAAGAUUUAUUUAAAUUCAAAAAAUAUCAAUAGUAUAUGCUUUGUAAUAGCAGUUUGUAAUAUAUCUUAUUGGCUUAUAAUGGUCAUGAGGUGUUGCUCCGAAUAUGUUUGUAUAUAAUGAAAUAGCUUGCAUAAAAUGUUAUGAUUUUUUUAAUUAAUUUGUAUACUAGUCAUGACUCGUAACGGCCAUUAUAGUUAUAUGACGGUCAUUAAAAGUCAUGACGCAAACACGAAACUAAUCAGUGCCCCUAAGAACUACAUAAAGGUCAUUAUAAGCCAUAAUAAAAAACAUACACUUAACACUAAUCGAUGCUUCUAUUGUCUCCAAUGUAAUUUAGAAGAAGACUUAAGAACAGCAUUGAGAGAGUGUCUAAACUAGAUAAUUCAGGCACAACUUACAUAAUGUAAUAUAUGGCUUUCGGUAGGAAGCAAUGUUGAUGAGUGAAACCAGAGUAUUUAUUGAUUACAGUCAUUGUUAAGUAGUGGUUGCAUCAAGUCUAUGGAAUGGGUUUCAACUUGUCCAUUGAAUUUGUCCAGAUGAUUGUCCUUUCCUCACGUCGGAGUAUUCUUCGAUGUCCCGAUCACUGACUAUUCCAAGGUUUUCGAUCCAUAAAAAUAACCUUGGGGCAACGAAUUUCAAGAGAAGUGGUCCAGCUAAGAAUUAGCCGGAUUAACCAAGACAUCAGACCAGGCAUAACAUGAACUAGAAGACUGUUUGAUAAAUUGACAGCUUUUUUUUGGGUGUUAAGGUGUUCCAAGCAACCUGAAAUAGUUAGGCUGAGAGGUUUUUCUUGUACAAUCAUCAACAAUGGCAGUUUAGUGCAUGUUUAGUGCAAAUAUCAGACUAGAAUAACAAUCUAAUUGGUGUUUUAGGAAGUUUAUUUCUCCUCUAAGGUAUCCAUUUUGUGUGGGAAGCACCUAGAUGCUUAGUUUUUAUGAAGUUCAGCAUAAAUUACUUUACCAAGCUUGUUCUAAUUCUGGUCAUAGAGGUUGUUGACAAAACAACUUUAAGAAUCUAGAUUUUGACAGAUGACCACCUUUUGGAUUGUCUAAGAAGCAAUGUCACAGUUUUACAUGAGUUAAUUACAAGGUUUGUUCGUCCACGGAGCAUGCCUCAUUUGACCAAGUCAGGGUUUCAGCUUAGCAAUAAGAACAUCCAAGUCUUGGGUCUUAUUCUGAGUUGAUUUCUUCUCCUCCCUUGUCAAAACAAAAUCUAGUGCAAAUAUUCUUGGCCAAGAUGGGUGCUUGUCAAGGGACCCAGAUUCCUUUGACUAGCUCCCCUUAUUUUCUCAGCUGGCCCCAAAGGCUCAAAGCAUCUCUUUCAGCAAACCACAUGGACAAAUGCCUCCCCCUUUCUUGCUAUGCUUUCCUUCCUCUCUUUUUACAUCAUUGGAUCUUCUUUAUUGCUUACAAAACACCAUUUGCAUUUUAGAACCAUUAGGCCUCUGCACUGAAGCACCCACUGCAGCUAUCUUCAUUUAUAUUAUGGGUAAUUAGGCCUUGGUAAAAUAAUAAACCUCAGAAUUACACAAUGAAGGAUAAUUAGAAAUAAACAAAACACAGAGUUUCAUUAAGGAAAACAUCUCUUCCACAUUAGCAACAAGCUCUGAUGAUCCACAAAGAUCUCUUGUAUCUAAGUUGUUCAUAAAGAAAACUUACAAGAGAUGAAGAGACUAGAAUUCCUAGAGUCAAAAGCUUAUGGUUAUUCAUGGAGGAUCUCCGAUUAAGGGGGAAAAAGAGAGAGGAAAAAUAGGAGGCUUUUAGUUUUGAUACAGCGAAGCAAAAGAGCUCUAAGCUUUCUUCCUUAUGGAAGUGAUCAACUGUUGCUGCAGCUAGUUGCAUCUCCACUGCUUGAUCCAUCAGAAGGCUCGGUGACACAGCUUGAUUCUGAUGAAGAGGCUGAGGAAGGCCGUUGAUCUCUCUGUUGCAGCCCCAUGAAAUCAACGAACCCAAUGCUACCAUUUCUACUUUGGCUCUCUUCGUGGCAUUCUUCGACAUCAACAUCCAUCUUGGUAGCUCUUUUCUUCUUAAAAAUACGACAGAGCACCCAAUCUUUUGUAGGAACCAUGGAACUCUGCAUAAAAGCAUUGCAGAAUUUAGUAAGAUUUUAGAACCGUUUACUUAUCUCCACUUGCGGUUCUAUUAAAUUUUUUUUCUUCUUCUCACUUCUUAGAGACUCGUAGUUUUGUAUCAGCAUCUUUCAUGAGGCUAGGAAACUGAUAGAAAACAAGUAAUUGAUGAAAUACUCAAACUACUUGAUUGAAACUACUAUUAUGAUUUUGUUGACAACCUAACAGGAACUUUUUAGCUAGACACAAUUCAAAAAAGGAGAUGAGAGGGCUCACUUAGCUGACAGAAAUGUUCAAAAGGAUUGGCAAAAAAGAAGCUGCUUGCUUAGCAGAUAUCAAUUUGAGGGAGAGGGUGAUAGCGAGUACAAGUAAAGUUUUCUUUCAAAUUGAAGAAGAGGAAGGAGGAAAGGACUGAAAGCUCACAAGGGUUGAGUUCUUUCUUUGGGGAAAGACACAGGCUCUAGUCUCAGCGCCGGCGAGGCGAUACUCAUGCAUGAUCCAAUCAGUCCUGGACCCUCUUGGAGGCUUCCCAUGAUAAAAGACCAGCACCUUCUUCAUCCCCACCACCUGGUUGCUGCUCGAAGCUACGAUCGCCUUGUCCUUCCCUGUUGCCUUCCAGUAACCGCAGCCGGUUGCCCGGUUCGAUCGAUUACCAUUCCGAUACUUGGCUUCUCUAAGGUGGAAAAAAUACCGCUCUUGCUUACACGCACCUAAACAACAGGAAGGAGAGAAGGAAGAAGAAAAACACAACCAUCUUCAAGCUCAACCCAAUAAUGUAAUCAUCUUCAUCAUCAUUACAUUCAGAGUGCUAAAGUAGAAAAAGCUGCAUGCUAAAAAUCUAGCUAAAAUGAUUCUGCAAAGACUUCCACUUUGCAAAUUAUGGCUGCCAUCAUGUCUAUGAUGAGAAAGUUGAGCUGGUUUUUUACAAACAUUUCAUGCAUUAAAAAUUAGUACUACUAACCAGGAAAGUCCCAAGGAUUGUAUUUGCCGAGAUCGAUCUCGGGGAUGAUGGAAGCCGGCAAUGGACAGGAGAAGACCUUCCUCUUAAGGUACUGCACAACAAGCUCUUCAUCAGUGGGGUGGAAUCUGAAUCCAGGGGGCAGCCUGAGCACUCCUUGCCUCAUAAAACUUGGCUUGUCCAUGACCAAAAGGAACCCCCUCACACCUCUUGCGUCACUUUGAAGCUAGAAGCAGCACCAAACACUUCGAGUCCAAUUCCAGAUGGGUUUGAAAGCUAAUAGCACCCAUGUUCCAUUUUUUUUUCUCUCAAAUCCAAGGAAGAGAGAGGAAGCAAGAGGGGCAGAGAGAGAGGNNNNNNNNNNNNNNNNNNNNUUUUUCUCUCAAAUCCAAGGAAGAGAGAGGAAGCAAGAGGGGGCGAGAGAGAGAGGGAGGAAGGGAGGAAAGAGGAGGAGGACAAAGGAGAGGAGGAGGAGGAGCAGGAGGAGGAGGUGAGUUUGUAUAUGAGAAAAGCGAGGGGCAGCUUUAUAGUAAGGUUGCGGGGAGAAGGCGACGACCGCUGUGGCGUGAACCAGACUCGAACCCUUUGACGCAUUUUAACAAAUGUGUGGCGACAUGGAUUUUAGGGGAAAACAAAAAUAUAUAUUUUUUUAUUGAAAAGGACAGAAGGAGGACUUUUCUGAAUCGAUUAUCUUCUAGUUGACUUAAAUACCCUUAUCCUUUUGUCGUAUCUGCGGAGAAGAUACGCCAGCUGCUCGCCGAUUAGGAGGGUCGUUUUGGUCAUUUUGCCGCGGAGUGGCUCCGCCGUAUGGAAUAGGGGAAGGUUACGUCAUGCUUACAGCUGGAGAGCAUCAACGGCUCCCGUGGACUAGUAAGAUGACUAAAAUACCCUUCACGUUCAUAACUUAUUACAUCAAGCGACCUUUUCUUAACUAUUUAUGACUACAUUAUUAUAUAGCCUUCCAUCUUUAACAUGACUCUUCAAAAAAAACAAAAAUCCACACAGCUGAAUCGAAGCCGCUCAGUUUAGUUUAUUUUUGCCAAUUAUCAACUCAGCUAUUUUUUAUGAUAGUUUAGUAAUUACGUUCGAAAAGCGAUCACUGCACACCAAAUGAUCACUUUUUAGAAUGAGAUUUAUUGUUUGUUUGCUUAUUUUUUCAUCUUGUUCUGCACUAAGUUAAAUCGAAUUGCAUGUAAAAAGCAAUGGUGGAUAGAUUUUGUAGCCAACAUAAAAUUUCUGCAUACAAGUUUGAAAGAUAAAAUUACUAGGACGGUGAUAUAUGAUAGCUUGAUCUCUUUCUAAUGAGGAUCUCUCCAGUCUUAACCAAGCAUGAUCAGGAGAUCUUUAAAAAAAAAAAAAGAGCUUUUUCUUUUUACUGAAUUCCUUCAAUUUUUUCCAUUAUGAGAUAAGGCUAAUAUGGUAAUCUUAUGAGUCAUAGUGGGUUAGGGAAUCCAAUUUGCAUAGAGACACGGUUGUGGACCAAGUUGCUUCCAGAACAACAGACAGGAGGAUAUAUAUAUAUAUAUAUAUAUAUAGACACACACAACAAANNNNNNNNNNNNNNNNNNNNAUAUAUAUAUAUAUAUAUAUAUAUAGACACACACACAAAACAAGAAAAGAUAAAGCAUAUUGAGAAUUUUAAAAGAUAAGAAUUACCCUUGAGGAGUUUUGGAAGUUAAAGAAGCAUUAGAAUAACAAGAAGCUAAGAUUGAAACUUUCCUACAGGAUAAAGGGGACAAGUUUUCCUUUAUAUAUAUAUAUAUAUUUUUCCUGCAUAUUAUUGGGUGACAAAAUUGAUGAGGAGAAAGUACUGGCUUGUUAGAAAAAUUGUGACACCAACUCUGCCAAGGAUAUUGUAGGUUGCAAUCAGAGCCUCUAUCAACUUAUGGUAGCUUGUAUGUAACCAUCAUAAUUUGUCUAUAGAAAUAGAAAAAAAAAGUAAAGAGGCCAUGGGAGCAGUUGGUGUCUAUGCAUGAAUAGUAUUUCCAAAGAUGUCAUGAGAAAUUUAAAUGUAGUAGACGAUGCUCCAGUUGUCCAAGCUAUGGUUACUAGUAAUUUCAAAGUAAAACUUAAGAAUUCAGACAACAGAUGGUGAACAGUAAAAAAGGCGACCCAAUCUAUAGCUUGGGUGUAUUAUUUUUUUAAGUUUUUAUAGUAGUGCUCACAUGAGAUUUAUGUGAGCGAUGUUGAUAUAACCAAAAAAAAAAAAAACCAAGAGGUGGUAAUGGGAAUACAGUGUAGCCUCGUGAGGAACGUGGACGGGCUUUCGUUGCCGUAGGGAGAGGGGAAAAGUGGAUUUUUAUAUAAAUAGAUACGAGAAUAAGAGGUAAAAAGGCAGGAAAGAGAUGUCAUAUUCCACUUGCAGUGUGGAAACAUCUCAAGCCGGAAUGCGGCUGGGUUUUAUUGUAAGAUAUUUUGUCUGCUUUCGCUCAUUAGGUUUUUAUUCCAUCUCAAUUCUUGCCUCUGAAGUUGGUGUCUUUGUAGGUGCCGUUUUGGUUUUAUAAUUCUUUUUUCUGGUCAAAAGAGGUUUGCGUGUUGGGAUUAGAAGAGGGUUUGUAGGAGUAAGAGGAGACGUCAAAAGGUACAAUUAUUGUGCUUGGAUAUUUUUUUUUUAAAAAAAAGAAAAAUUCUUGCUUGUUUUGUUUGGACUUGGCUUUGUUUAUUUAUUGGCUUCAGCGGUUCGAAUUGAUUGAGUGGAAGAACCAAAAAGGCCAUUUGCCCCCCUCCCCCAUUCUAAACUUCUGAGGGGAUGGCUUGCACAUGGUUGUGCCAUUCAUGGACCACACAUAAUGACACAGGCAUAAGAAAAAAAAGUAUGAGGUGGAUAUUCUAUUUUAUCAUGUUAAAAAAUCUAAAAAUCAAAAACUUUUUUUACCUAGCAAGUUGUCAGUCUUGUGAUUAAAAAAAAAAAAAUCUUCUUGUUGUUUUCAUUUUCAGUAUGUAAUUUUUACUUGUACAUAUUAUAUGAUCAGGUGAUAAACAUUUGCAUAUCAGCAAGCUACAAAUUUUGAAAUACAAAACUAAGUUAUUCGGACUACCUAAUAGUACUCUUCAUAUUGAUGUCAACUGCAUUUUGGUCUGGAAGCACUAUAAGGAGGCAACGCAUUUAAAAUGAUGUUCCAAUACGUCCUUUGUUUUGAGAAAUUAUGCACCAAUAUUUGUCAAUGCCAUAUCUUUUAAUCAUUUACAACUUUCGCCCAUGAUCUGAUGUAAUUCACUAACCGUUUUUAGUUUGACUAAAAAUUUAAUGAAUUUACUAUUUCAUUAUCAAAAAGAAAAAAAAUCAAACAUUUACAGAUAUCGAAAUUUCGGGUGUUGCUGGUAGGUUUUUCAGAAUUGCAAGCUCAUCAAUCUAUUUUUGUUGGAGUCAAAAGCCAUUAGUUAAACGAAAUUGGCAUUCUAGACAUAGUUGAAGCAACCAAACAAUGUGAGAAUAAAAGGUGUCCUUAAUUGUUUCAAGAUUGAAACAUUGAUAAAAUUACAGCCCAAUCAUGGUUUAUUAGAGCUCUCAAGUCUCAAUCAUACUCUGUUUUUAGUUGGUUCCAUCAUGUGAAAUGGGCUUGGGUCUUACUCGUGCACCACUUAACUUUUUCCUCCUUGGCAGCCCUUUGUGGAAGUAUCUACGCAUCAAGGUGUGUCCCAGUCCCACUUGUGUGUGUGUGUGUGGCUUUGAAAGGGUGGAUUCUAAAUGUUGUGGUUCAUAUCAUUGGGGGAUGUUGGAAGAAUCCUUGAACCUCAUCCUUGGAAGGAACACGCUUUGAAACUCUCUUUUCCGAGAAGAAAAAUAAUAUCAAAAAGUUAGUGGAGAGAAAAGAAUUUUUCUGAUGGUGAUGGGCAUCCCAAGUUGGGAGCAAAUGCCCCCCCUGUUUCCUUUUCUCCUAAGUUUGAUCGAGUUAAGCAAAGAUUAACACAACGUGAAUCAUGUAUUCAUGAUAAGUUAUCACAUUGCAUUACUUUUAAGGAACAAUAAAUUUUUUUAUAUUUUGAAAGAAACUAAGCCCCUGUUUGGGAGAGCUGUUAGUAGUAGAGCUUUUGGAAGUAGAGCUGUUUGAAGCAGAGCGUUUAUAAAAAGCUGUUUGCUGUUUGAUAACUACAUUUCUAAAGUGCUCUGGCACUUUAACAUGUAUUUGGUAAACAAACUGAGAAAGUACUUUUGUAUGACAAAAUGACCAUAAAGGACAUUACCAGUCUUAUAUAAUAGAGCAUAAUAAAAUAAAAUAUGUAUUAAUACAUAAAUAUAUAAUAUAGUAUAAUAUUAAUGUAAUGUAAUAUAAUAUUAUUAUAAUAUAGUACUAUAACAUUAUGUAUUAUAGAAUAAUAAUUUAAUAUAAUAUUAAAUUAUUUAACAUAAUAUAUCAAUGUAUUAUGAUAUAAUAUAAUAUUAUAUUAUAUUUAUAGUAUAAUACAAUAAUAAAUAUAUAAAAUAUUAUAAUUAUUAGCGUAAAUUAAUUUUUCAUCAUUCUAAUGAUCAUUUAUCUCUCAAUAGGAUCUGUUACGGGGGAACUAAGCCGCCAUGCUCCACGUGACCGGCACGCGCGCCCAUGAAGACUACGGCUGUCCUUUGAUCCAGCAAUCCGAUCCCGAGUCGGACAUCUUCGGCUCCACAGCCCGACCUCGAGUCGGCUGCCCUUCGAUCCAGCAGUCCGGCCCCGAGUCGGACAUCUUCGGCUUCGCGGCCCGACCCCGANNNNNNNNNNNNNNNNNNNNNNNNNNNNNNNNNNNNNNNNNNNNNNNNNNNNNNNNNNNNNNNNNNNNNNNNNNNNNNNNNNNNNNNNNNNNNNNNNNNNNNNNNNNNNNNNNNNNNNNNNNNNNNNNNNNNNNNNNNNNNNNNNNNNNNNNNNNNNNNNNNNNNNNNNNNNNNNNNNNNNNNNNNNNNNNNNNNNNNNNNNNNNNNNNNNNNNNNNNNNNNNNNNNNNNNNNNNNNNNNNNNNNNNNNNNNNNNNNNNNNNNNNNNNNNNNNNNNNNNNNNNNNNNNNNNNNNNNNNNNNNNNNNNNNNNNNNNNNNNNNNNNNNNNNNNNNNNNNNNNNNNNNNNNNNNNNNNNNNNNNNNNNNNNNNNNNNNNNNNNNNNNNNNNNNNNNNNNNNNNNNNNNNNNNNNNNNNNNNNNNNNNNNNNNNNNNNNNNNNNNNNNNNNNNNNNNNNNNNNNNNNNNNNNNNNNNNNNNNNNNNNNNNNNNNNNNNNNNNNNNNNNNNNNNNNNNNNNNNNNNNNNNNNNNNNNNNCUCCGUUCACACCGCUGUGUCAAUCGUUCUCGGUUUGGACCACCAGCAACAGGAUCCAUCUUCAAUUUGUUUUAAAUUUUUGGAAGAGGUUUUCAACAAUUUUCAUUCUCUCCUAUUAUUUAUGACGCUCCCUAGCUUGUCCACCGUUCUCUUCUUUCUUCACUCUUCGUUGGCAUCAUCAUUUCCUUAUCAAAAAUAAGACUGACAUUAAAAAAGUGGACGAAUGUGAACACAAACCAAUGACCCUCCAAGAGGCGUGGCAAAUGACACAGUAAUAAUUAAAGAGAAAAUGACCUUUGAGGUCUUCCUCCAUGAGGGUGGUGUGCUUUCUCAAUGCUUUUGGAGCGGAAUGACCAGGCAUACGAUAUUUUCUUGCAAAUGAAGCAACACCUGAAAUUACAAGCUUAUUAGGCCAUGCAUAUAUCUUAGGGGACCCAUGGAUUAAUUCUAAUGGUGAGUUAUCUGAUAAUUUUGGCCUAUCUCCUAGCAAGUGGUAUGUCGGUGGGUGAUCGACGCAUUGGAAGGGUGACGAUUUUAUAUUUUUCGAGCGAAGAUGGGCGGCAUUAUUUUAAUGUUCUUAGGGAUGAGAUCUAAUGAGAAAUGUUUCAAUUAAUAUGCGUUCUCUUAGUUAUUUUCUCGGGGUUUUGGAGAAUAGGGGUGAUGUCAGUGGAGAGAGUUCAUAGAGUGAUAUGAACUCAAUUGUUUGCUAUUCUGGUGCAGCUCGAAAGCAGCUAGCGCAUCUCAUGAGCGUGAGGUGGUUGCCUCACUGAACAUAAUGGCUUGAUGCAGUAGGUAUGUGGAGAUGGAAAUGUUUCGAACCAAAAGUGUUUUUCUCAAAGUAAAUUUCGAUGGUAGUCGGUCAGUGGAUGGUGUGACUGGAGGGGUUGGAUUUGUAAUUAGGAACCACCUUGGUAGGAUGAUAGCAGCAGGAGGGCGGUGCACGCCGGGUCCACAGUGGUCGGGGUAGAACUGCAGGCAGCGUGAGAGGGUAUAUCCUAUGCGUGGCAGGUACUUGGUGUGGAGCAGGUAUGUCUCGAGAGAGAUUCUUCUGUAGUUAUCGACUGGCUCCGAGGGGCGGAUCGGUUUGGGGAUGGUCAUCCCCUCAUUCGGAAGACCCAUAGGAUGGCGCGGUUGAUGGGUGAUGUUCAGGAAGGCGAACAGAGCUGCAGACUGGAUCGCCUCCUUUGUUGUCCGGUAUUUCAGAGAUUUUCUUUGGACGUCUGUAUCAGACAUUCAUCCCUCUUUGUAUCUUUUACUUUUUCGCGAUUUGGCAGGUUGCACUCACGUUAGAGUUAUAUAAAAUGAGCAGCCGCUCUUGAACAAAAAAAAAAACCAAAAGUGCUUCUCUCAAAGGAAAAAAAAAAGUGAGGCUAACCCCUUAACCAUCAAUCUUAGUCAUUCUUUAAUUUUUUGCAAAAUUGGAUAUUAUUAUAUUAUUUUUGAAUAAAUACAAUCAUGAGAAUCGAUAAAACGUUCAACAAUUAAGUGAGAGCCAUGGAAGUAGAAGUCCAUAAAAGUUAACUAAUUUAUGUCAUUGGUCUAGGCUACAGAAGGGGCUCGGGCUCAAGUAUACAACAGAAACGGGGUUGAAUCUUUCACGGGAAAGAAGGAUUCACCUUCCUUUGCAUGAAUCCACCAUUGGAUCGCAAAAUGGUUGCUUCGAUAUCCAUGCAGGCUGGCGAAUGAAUAGAUUCAGAGUGCUUUGACAUUUGUACAGAGUGCGACCCAAUAGGCAAUGCUGCAAGAGAAGAUCAAUUAUUCUUUUGUGCUAAAGAUACAAUCCGAACCCUUAUGAUGGAGCCUAAAACAUAAUAAAUUGGAGCUAGGCGAAUAAAAAAGUCUAGAUCCAACCAUGGCCCACUAGAAUCUCAGGCUCAGGCCAUAGUUGGGCCUUUCAAUUCUGAGCCUGUUUUGAGUAGGACAGCCAAGGAAAUCAGAUUCAGACUGGUAUUAAAGCUUGGAAAUUGCCUAACCUGGCCUAAGUUGACAAUGUUAUGUCACUUUCUCUGUGAUUGAAGAUAUAAUGCAGCCAUCUCUCUCUCUUAUGCGGGUUAAUUAAGACUUCUCAAGUCUCUCUCUCUCUCUCUCUGUCUCUCUCUGAGCCCUUCCUUUUAUUACGGAGAAGGCAACUCCUACCAACUUUACCAGCUAUGCAUUGGCACCUUCUUUCCAGUGAUUUAAUCUAAAGAGCUUCCGGGACUAGACUUUGAGUGGAAGAGGAAGAUUAGGAAAAGCACUGGAAGAGGAAUUAAUAUGGACAUGAAGAGCAUGAAUAUUAUGACAAUGGUAACAAAAACAAAGUCAAAAAGAUCCUAAGACAAACCAAAAGAUUUUUAUGUUUAUUAUUUUGUUUACAAAGAUUUUUUUUAGAAUUUAAUAAAGCUGGAUCAUAAUUUAAUAACUAAUUUACAAAAAAAUUCUUUCAAUACAUGUCUGUCCACACAAUGCGGGAUUGAUUUAUUGUGACUAUCUCUUUAUUGCUUCUGUAGCUGUAUUUUUUCUAAAGGAUUCUUCAAUUUUGAUUCGAGGGCUAAGAUUAUAAAUGCAAUUGAUGAAAAAUGAAACCACGCAUAUUUUAUUCUUUUGAAAAACAUAUCUGUAUUCCCAUAUAUUUAUUGAAAAUUUGAUUUAGAAAACAAAAGGUACCAUAUGAGCCUCUUUUUUCAAUUAUUCCGAAACAAGAUUUUUUUUCUAUCUAAAAUCACAUACUGAGAUUGAAUAUGGCCGUGGAGAUGCCAAUCGACUCAAUCAACCCUCUAAUUGGCCCUCCGAGGAAGCUAUCCGGCGAGGAGGCGAGAUCAAUUGGCCAAGAACUUCCUUACCUUCAUUGCAGGAGCUUGUUGCUCUCAUGAAGCUUAUCUAUCACCAAUAAGCUGUAAAUAGCACUCCAUUGGCAUUUUCCUUUUGAACCUUCAAAAGAAUAAAAGGAUAAAAUGGGGAGAAAAAAAGAUAAAAAAGGUUGGUGGUUUCCUUUUUUUUUUUUUGCUGCUAAAGCGGGUGUUUCAUACUAUACAGGUACGAAUACACUCAGUAGAGUCUACAAACAAAAGGUCCCGGAAUGCACUGGGCAAAUCAUCCUCACCAACCCAUAGGAUGCCUCCUGAGUGGCUCGCAAUAUAUGCUGCCACCCAGUCCGCCGCCCCAAUAGCCUCACGAUAUACAUGCAUAGCUCGAAAAAUAACCUCCUCCCUUACCAUCAACCAUAUGUCACGGAGCAAAGGAUGAACUUCUCUAUCACUGUGAGAGCUCUUCCGGACCCAACUGAUCACCGUGGACGAGUCGCCCUCCAAGAGGAUGGAACUCGCCCUAAAGGUUGGUGGUUCUUCACAAAAACUCAUCAGUCUCUACUCUAAGCCAGUUAACUGUCAACUUAGAGGAUUUCAAUUCAAUAUGACAUCCUAUAAUCAGUGCUUUAUUCUUUUGUUAUUAUUGCAAUGAUGUACGACUUUAUUCAAAAAAAUAGUCAAAAAACAUUAUUUAAAUUAGUUAAUUAUAUAUCAAUAUUCAAAAUUCAUUAAAUAUAUAAUCAAUAUAGAACUAAAUAUAUGCUGCGUGAUCCAUGUUGUCUUGUUAUGACCAGUAAAGUGCUCCAUGAUCUCCAAAAAUUUUUGGGAGAAGAUGACUAUGGGGUCUCCAAUUUUAAAUGCCUUCAAAGAAUAUAUAAGGGAUGAACGUCUCAUCAUACUUUACCACAACAAUUUGAAUGGUUUCAUUGGGCCUCCACCCACGGAAGACAGCACUAACUAAGGGCUCGUUUGGUUCGCAGNNNNNNNNNNCCAAACGAGCCCUAAGAUGAAACCAAGCCAUCCAAAUAGAGGCCCCAUGCUUUCCACGAGGAUGCAACAUUAUGGCCGGAUUUUUUUCAUUCCAUUCUUAUAUUAUAUGAGGAUCCAUAUAGAUAUAGAUUUAGUUCGAUAUUGGUCAUGCAUGGGAUAGAACUUAUAUAUUUACACAUAAUCAAAAAAUCCAAAUAGUAUUUUCUAGCUACCAUCUUUGAAUGAAGUCCUGAUUCAUGAUAAAUAAUAUCAAAGCAGAUCCGGCCCGUAGCUAAUAUGGACUAUGAGACAUUGCAGCAUAGAUUCAUAAAGGCUGACUAUAGGCCGAUUGUGAUAUUUACGAUUAGAUUUGAAUUAAUUUGGACCCUCAGCCUUUUAAAGAUGCUAAGACUUAAAAGAGGAGUAUGCGAGAAUCCGUGCGGCCCUUUUAAAGAUGCUAAAGCUUAAAAGAGGAGUAUGCGAGAAUCCGUGCGGGCAUGCAUUUAGUUCUAUAUCGACUAUGCACUGGAUAGAUGUUGGAUAUUUGCAUGGGAUCAAAAAAACUAAAUAAUAUUUUUUGGCUGGCUUUUUUUUUUAGAUGAGAUUCUAGAUUAUAACAUACUCUCUGUGAGACUAUUCACUUUUUAUAUUGUCAAAACAUAAGUCUAAACUUCAUGACUCAACAAACACUUCAAAUAUAAGUCCCACGUUGAGCAUGUUCUGUUUAACUGUGACUUUGAUCAUGUUCUAUGUUUAGGAAAAGAUAAAUGAAAACCAUCAAUUAGUUCUUGGCAUUCACCGAUAGUUGCUGUCUAUUUCUAAAUAAAUCAGGGGACCAUGGCAAGGAGAAGGCCAAAGGGGGAGUAUGAAGAGUGCAGUAAUAGUAGUAUACUGCAUCCGGGUAGGAUGAAUCGUUCGCCAAAACAGAAUCUAUUGAUUCUCUCCCAAUUUGUUGGAUCAUAGAUAUAAUGAUUUACUUCAUGGACUAAGUCUCCAAGUGUGAUGAUUUACUUCGCCGGUAACAUUUCUAAUUCAAGACUUGAAUGACCUGGCUGAAGUGGUUGCUCCUUUUUACCCAAAAUUGGAAGUGGAUUCUGAUUUCUGCAAAAAUAAUCUACUUUCUGAUAGAUUUUGCAAGAAAAAGUCAUAUUGAUUUUUUUAGCCUCUUCCAGACAAAAUUGUCCUUUCAUAUACCUAACAAUGUAUCUCUAGAUAGAGUGGCGAAAACAUAUAUGGUGAGUGAAAUUAGGAUUAACUCAAUGAAGUGUAGGAGACCGCUAAGGACAGGAGCGGUGGUGGUGGUGGUGGUGAAGUUAGAGAUAAAACUUAGCAACCAAUGCCACACCCUCCUCCAUAACUUUCUCGCCCGCCACACCUCA
rnacentral:lncRNA from 1 species